GUCGUUGUUUGUUGGCUUGUGUCAUUCCCCUUCUUCUACAGCCAUGUUGCAAGCAGUACGAGCCCUCAUGAUCGUGGGCAUUGUUCUGGGGGUCAUCAGUUUUCUAGUAUCCCUCUUCGCCCUGAAGUGCAUUCGAAUUGGCAGCAUGGAUGAUCCUGCCAAGGCCGAGAUGACACUGAGCUCAGGGAUCCUGUUCAUCAUCUCAGUUUCGAUGAUAAGAUAAGAAGGCUGCAGUUGACCAGGAAAGAGUCUUUAAGACAACAUACUAUAGCCACACUACAGCAUCAAACAAAAGAACAAUGCAGCAGCAUCGAAGAAGGUACUCUCCAAAUGGAAUGAUCACAUGAGCCAUUCACAGUGCUUGUAGAGGAUACUGAAUCUCACAUGUAAAAUGCAUGAUGUUUAACACUACACUUGACUGGUUGAAAGUGUGACUUUACCUAGCUCAUCAGCAGAACAACCACCAAAGACUUUUCAAAGCAUUUAAAUGUUCCUUUAGCUUCUAACUGAGUACUACGAAGCAGAGGAAAACCGAGGUUGUUCUCAUAGGAGGCAGUGUGGCUUCACCGCUGCAGACAGCAGCAUGUGUGUGAGCCACUCUCUCUACUGACUUUCCUCCAGACCUUGAGGAGUUGCAGGACAUUGAUCCCUAGGAAGACAAUAAGAGCCAGGAAGAUCUGGCAAGUGUGCGGAGCCUCCAGAGUAAGGAAGGCGUCAUCAGGAACCUAGAAAAGAACAUUGGAUGCCCUGAGUCAGAAGUUACAGGUGAUGCUGAGCCACAAUGUUGUUGCUUGGUAUUGUACCCUGGUCCUGUGGAACAGCUAGCAGGUUUCCCCAUCAUGAUCUUGAUGCCCAUUGUUCAUAGAAUCCCUCUUCUCUCUCUUCGACUGGACUCCUGGAGCUCGUCCUGGUACUUGGCUGUGGAUCUCUCUGGCAGAGCAUUAGGGUGAGCAGUGCUGGCCGUGGACUCUGCUGUGCUUGCUGGAGGCUCUGCCAUGGAAAGAUGACCUUUGUCAGAACACCUACUGCCUCCCACAGUUCUAACCAGCAAUUUCAGAGUCCUGCGCUUUCAAUUCCUAGAGCCACAGUCUCCCUCCACAGCCAGGUGCUACCCCAGCCCUGCCUUCCAUGAUGUUGGCAUCACCAAGCUUAGCAGAUAGUAAAAGUUUUCAACUAUUAAGGGACUGGUUUUCCCCAAAUCUGUCUUGUGAUUCUCCAGUGUGGUCUUCACAUCCAGUGAUGGUCACGGUCCCCAGCUUUCGUCAGCCAUCUGAAAACAACCUAGUGUUUCUGUGAUUGACAACGUGCCAACACUUGACUCAGCCAUUCUCCUGGUGUCAUGGGCAUUGCUGGCCCCAGGUCCCAAGCAGCCUGGCACUUGUAGCAUUUCUCAGGGAUGGUAGUGUGAUUACUAAUGGACACAUGUACAGCAAUAUCUUCUGAGCAGUACAGCUACCAUCUUCAUGAGUGGUACCAGCUCCACCUGUUUGUAAGAGGUAAUCAAGGCUGGCUUUGAUGACAUACUUUCACGGAAUGUGAGGGCAUCAGGAGUCAUUGUACUCUCAACUGAGUAUCCGAUCACCCCUCCAGCCAUUUGUAUAAAAAUUAAAUAUGGGAGGAAAAUUAAAUUCUUCAUGAGCAUAAACAUUAACGUUGAACUUUACAUCGACUUGGAUUAGGAUUAUCAUCUGGGGUCCAUCUAGCUGAGGCAUUUCCCAUUCAAAAUGUCAUAGUUUGAAUGAACCAGCAACCCUUCUCCAUGGUACUCUAACAUUCAAAAUGAUGUAGAAUUGUGUAGAAUUUUGAACUAUGGCACUCAACCCAUCGAAUCACUAAUCAGGAGUUGAAAGAUAUACUCACUUGAUGUUCCUGAGCCGAGUGAACUCUGCUCGCAAAUCAUCCAUGCAAUAGAGACUAGGAUGGACAAUUGUCUUAUGACACUAGGUAUCCAACACACUUAUGAGGGAAAUAAAAAAGCAGACAAGUGCAGCCCGCUGAUACUUGGAGGUUCACAGACUAAUGUUGGAUAAUAGAAAUAAUAGUAAUCUCAAUGAGUUUUUUGCAUUGAUGGGCCCUAGCUGAGGGACAAGGCAAGCCUUAGUAGCAUUGAUGAAUAAUCUUGGAGAGCGUCGACGAGUUGGGCAGUUUCUUUCCUUUUGCACUCUUUUCCUUCCCAAACUUGUGGUCGGGGAAAGGGCCUGCCUUGAGAAAGUACAGAGCAAGCGCUCCCACAAUACCCACAGAGCUGGCAGACUCCAGGCUUUAUGGUAAUUAGUUUUGGGAUCAUGAGAGUGAGCUUUACAUUUAAAUUCUUAUUUAUCAAGGGAUCAAUUUAGAGGCUGGGCACAAUGCCGAUGAUAUCAUUAUCAUAACAAACUCUCUCAGGCAAGAUUCUCUGGGCUCCCGAUUGUUGAAACUGUGUUAGAUCAUAUCCUCCGUAAGGAAGGGGACCACAUUUUGCUUCACCUUCUAGUUCAGACUGUAAAAGUUCAAGCUGAGGUUGAGAGUUUUAGGCUUAUUCUGAAAGGUUUGGCUCACCACCAUGAGUAUGCUCCAUUUGCUCAAAUGUGAAACCUGUCAGGAGUAAAUAACUUAGAACAUGGCUAUUUCCACACUUGCCUGCCAUUGCCCUGGGAGUAACAACAGCACAUGAUGGAAUACUAGCAGGUGUCACCGUACGAGAGCAAUAUCAACAACUACGAGAAGCAGUUGGUGAAGCUGAACAUAGAUUACAGGAGCAGCUGAGGAGCAAGAGAUUCAUCAGUUAGGUCUAGAUCAGGCUGAAGCCAAGAUUUUGCUUGACUUUCAUAAGAAGAAACAUGCAAUUGGGAAUCAACAAGCUGAAAUUAUCCUCACCGCAAAACAGGAGAAGCUUCAACAAUUAGCUGCUUCGAUAAGCAACAAUAAUCAAAGAGUCACGUUGAGCCCAGGGAGUUUUGUAGCUUCAGCAUCUCUUCAAGUUCCUUGGGUUGCUCCAGUUGCUGUUCAGCCUCAAGGGAGUGCAGGGACUACAGAACCAGAUUCUGAGGAUCUCAAGGGUCAAGAUAUGGAAGACAAUGACCUAAGUGAGUUAUCAGAUCAUGACAGUACACCCACGCAACAUUCUAUGUUUCAAAUCCUGGAUGCUGAGUCUGAAAGUAAGGAAGAUGAAGGGCACUUGCUCUGUGAAAAACCCAGACCCAAACUUUCACCUGAGAUCUUGCACACCAGACAAUUCAACAGCGAGCCAGCUCAGAUCAGAUACACUGCAGAACCACCUCCCUCCCCGCCAAAGAACCACCAUGGGAGAUCCCCACGGCAGACCAUCCAAUCCCAAUCAGUCCCUAACUCUCCAGGGUCGUGGGCAGAGCCUCAAACCAACGAGCAAUGCUCUCCCACAGCUCACAGCCGUGAACCCUUGACCACCAUACUCACCCAAGACUGGUCAUCGCCCAUGCCAACUGAGCCUCCUUUACCCCCCCCCCCCCCUUACCCAGUGCGAAGCAGUGACAAUUGCCAGUGCCUCAAUCCCUCCCCUUUCUCCUUCCAAUCCUUUCAGUUCCAUGGGUGCUUCCCCCAAGCAAGAAACAGCCUCCACACUCCCUCCCCUUGCCCUGGACCACAAACAACUGGAGGCCAUCAAGACUGAAUACCAAAGUUGGGUCAACACCAAAGGGAUUCGGGCAGGGUUGUUAUUUUAUUAUAACACAACAGGGCAUGCCUGUAAUUUUACAACUCACAGCGGCUCCAUUCUUCAGUAUCCAACCAGCUUAACAGGCACAACUAUUUCUGUAAUGACACCUGAGGGGUGGUAUUGGUGAUGAAAGUACAUACAGUAACUGUUGAUAAUCAGGAGCAAGCAUGGAGUGACCUAAGCGUGCAGUCUUGGUUUGCAUAUUGUUAUGAGAAUCUCUGAUUGCUAGCUAUCUAUGCAUUGACUUAAUUGCAUUCUUUCAGAGGCCCAGCAACAGCUUACAGGCCACAUGUGCAGAUGGCAGCUUUCUCAGUCAACCCUCAGGUAAAAUCCAGGGAGCCUGUUUGGUUUUCAGACACUUUCCCCUUUCUUUGUAAAAAUUGUCUGUCUGCUGACCAAAUUAUCUCACACAGAAACAUUAUUUUUGUACUAUUAAAAAAUUAGAUCUGAUUGUAGGUGGCCUCAGGGAUGAUGAAGAGGAGCUAUAUAGUAUAUAGUCUGGGUAGUUUAACUUAU